ACGGGAGGCAGCAGUAGGGAAUAUUGCACAAUGGGGGAAACCCUGAUGCAGCAACGCCACGUGUGGGAAGACGCAUUUCGGUGUGUAAACCUCUGUCGUGAGGGAAUAAGGCUACUUUUCGGAGUAGUUGAAUGUACCUCGAAAGGAAGCACCGGCAAACUUCGUGCCAGCAGCCGCGGUAAUACGAGGGGUGCAAGCGUUGUUCGGAAUCACUGGGCGUAAAGGGAGCGCAGGCGGAGAUGCAAGCGGACUGUACAAUACCGGGGCCCAACCCCGGACCUGCAGUCCGGACUGCACCUCUUGGAUAGUUCAGGGGCAAGCGGAAUUCCUGGUGUAGCGGUGGAAUGCGUAGAGAUCAGGAAGAACACCGAUGGCGAAGGCAGCUUGCUGGGGACUGAUCGACGCUCAUGCUCGAAAGUGCGGGUAGCAAACAGGAUUAGAUACCCUGGUA
rnacentral:rRNA from 1 species